rnacentral:rRNA from 1 species
CAGGCCUAACACAUGCAAGUCGAACGAUGACUCUCUAGCUUGCUAGAGAUGAUUAGUGGCGGACGGGUGAGUAACAUUUAGGAAUCUGCCUAGUAGUGGGGGAUAGCUCGGGGAAACUCGAAUUAAUACCGCAUACGACCUACGGGUGAAAGGGGGCGCAAGCUCUUGCUAUUAGAUGAGCCUAAAUCAGAUUAGCUAGUUGGUGGGGUAAAGGCCCACCAAGGCGACGAUCUGUAACUGGUCUGAGAGGAUGAUCAGUCACACCGGAACUGAGACACGGUCCGGACUCCUACGGGAGGCAGCAGUGGGGAAUAUUGGACAAUGGGGGCAACCCUGAUCCAGCCAUGCCGCGUGUGUGAAGAAGGCCUUUUGGUUGUAAAGCACUUUAAGCAGGGAGGAGAGGCUAAUGGUUGAUACCCAUUAGAUUAGACGUUACCUGCAGAAUAAGCACCGGCUAACUCUGUGCCAGCAGCCGCGGUAAU